GGAAGAUGGUUCGGGAGGCAAAGAAAAAUCCAAGGGCCAAAGUUGGAGAAUGACAGAACUUGGUCUCCAAAUCUACAAUUAGACGCCAGAUCCUACAAUUCUAUAGUGCUCUGUGUGCUGGCGCCCACCAAAAAGACACCGGAAUCCAGCUAAGAAGGGCCAACACCAUCACAUUCCUGUGUGCAAUGGAUUAAAACCAAUCUCAAAGAGACAAUUACAAAUACGGUAUUCACAUUUAUUUUAUAAAGAAACUGUAUAAUCAUGCACUUGAACUCUGUAUGGAUAUUUACACAUUACUUAACUAGAAAAUAAUGCAAUUUUAUCUGCACAUAUCUUCACUUCCAUGAAUAACACAAGAACAGCAAGACAUAUCACGUGAGUAUUCUAAAAGACACUAGAGGGCAGUACAUACCUAAUAUAAUUCAGGAGAUUCAGACAUGGAAUUACCAUGCUGAAUUUACUGUGUAUUUGAUUUGAUCAACAAUAUAAUGUGGAUUAAACUCUUUUGAAACAGUCAAAUUGUUACACUACAUCAACAUUAGAGUACAGUGACAAGUUCUAGAAUCUGGCCUAGAACAGCCACAUUCAGUUGGUACAACUAGUACUGUUACAGAUACAGUGCCUUCACACACCGUGACUUAUUCCACAUUGUGUUGUGU